UGAGGGGUGACUGCAACCCUCUGCCUGCUGUCCUGUGCAAUCGAGCCACAGGAAGGGACCCUGAGGGCAGAACUGUGGGGUCUGAGAGAAGCUCCAGCCCUGGUGCAUCGCUUGGGAAGAAGGAAGCUCUCAGCCCCGUGAUGUCGUGGCACAAAGUCAGAGGCCAGGAGAGCUCAACUCACUCAGGGCAUGAAGAAGAAAACUCAUUCAGAAGCAGGGGCAGUCUGACGACUGAGGAUAUGAAGGAUGUCACCUGAUCAGCAGCUCCGGAGGCUGAGACAGAAGAAUCUUGAGUUCAAAGCCAAC